rnacentral:rRNA from 1 species
UACGUAGGGUGCAAGCGUUAUCCGGAAUUAUUGGGCGUAAAGAGCUCGUAGGCGGUUUGUCGCGUCUGCUGUGAAAACUGGAGGCUCAACCUCCAGCCUGCAGUGGGUACGGGCAGACUAGAGUGCGGUAGGGGAGAUUGGAAUUCCUGGUGUAGCGGUGGAAUGCGCAGAUAUCAGGAGGAACACCGGAUGGCGAAGGCAGAUCUCUGGGCCGUAACUGACGCUGAGGAGCGAAAGCAUGGGAGCGAA